rnacentral:rRNA from 1 species
UCGCGGCCUAUCAGCUUGUUGGUGAGGUAGUGGCUCACCAAGGCGACGACGGGUAGCCGGCCUGAGAGGGCGACCGGCCACACUGGGACUGAGACACGGCCCAGACUCCUACGGGAGGCAGCAGUGGGGAAUAUUGCACAAUGGGCGAAAGCCUGAUGCAGCGACGCCGCGUGAGGGAUGACGGCCUUCGGGUUGUAAACCUCUUUCAGCAGGGAAGAAGCGAAAGUGACGGUACCUGCAGAAGAAGCGCCGGCUAACUACGUGCCAGCAGCCGCGGUAAUACGUAGGGCGCAAGCGUUGUCCGGAAUUAUUGGGCGUAAAGAGCUCGUAGGCGGCUUGUCACGUCGGUUGUGAAAGCCCGGGGCUUAACCCCGGGUCUGCAGUCGAUACGGGCAGGCUAGAGUUCGGUAGGGGAGAUCGGAAUUCCUGGUGUAGCGGUGAAAUGCGCAGAUAUCAGGAGGAACACCGGUGGCGAAGGCGGAUCUCUGGGCCGAUACUGACGCUGAGGAGCGAAAGCGUGGGGAGCGAACAGGAUUAGAUACCCUGGUAGUCCACGCCGUAAACGGUGGGCACUAGGUGUGGGCAACAUUCCACGUUGUCCGUGCCGCAGCUAACGCAUUAAGUGCCCCGCCUG